GACGAACGCUGGCGGCGUGCUUAACACAUGCAAGUCGAACGGAAAGGCCCUGCUUUUGUGGGGUGCUCGAGUGGCAAACGGGUGAGUAACACGUGAGUAACCUGCCCUUGACUUUGGGAUAACUUCAGGAAACUGGGGCUAAUACCGGAUAGGAGCUCCUGCUGCAUGGUGGGGGUUGGAAAGUUUCGGCGGUUGGGGAUGGACUCGCGGCUUAUCAGCUUGUUGGUGGGGUAGUGGCUUACCAAGGCUUUGACGGGUAGCCGGCCUGAGAGGGUGACCGGCCACAUUGGGACUGAGAUACGGCCCAGACUCCUACGGGAGGCAGCAGUGGGGAAUAUUGCACAAUGGGCGGAAGCCUGAUGGAGCAACGCCGCGUGCGGGAUGACGGCCUUCGGGUUGUAAACCGCUUUCGCCUGUGACGAAGCGUGAGUGACGGUAAUGGGUAAAGAAGCACCGGCUAACUACGUG
rnacentral:rRNA from 1 species